AAUUCAAAAAUUUCACCUUAACCAGGUGAUCCAACUGUACACCCACAGCCGGAAACAUACUGGGGCCAUGUAAAUCCUAUUGGGCCACGAGCAUGCUAUGAUGAAGGCAAACGCGUCUCGGAGACACUUAGCUACGCUUAUGCAAAACAAGAGAACGUCAAAGUGCGCGUAGCACGUAUAUUUAAUACAUACGGCCCCCGGAUGCAUAUGAAUGAUGGUCGUGUUGUAUCCAACUUUAUUCUACAAGCACUCCGGAAUGAGACUAUUACGGUCUAUGGUAAUGGCAAGCAAACUCGGUCAUUUCAAUAUGUUUCAGAUCUGGUCGAUGGAUUAAUUUCCUUAAUGGCAUCCAACUACAGUCAGCCCGUCAAUUUGGGCAAUCCGGUAGAGCACACAAUCGAAGAGUUUGCGCGGAUCAUAAAAAAAUUGGUGGGGGG